CGGGAUAUGGCCUAAUUGGCUAGGGCGCACGCUUCGGGUGCGUGAGGUUCCGGGUUCAAGUCCCGGUAUCCCGACCA
rnacentral:tRNA from 1 species